rnacentral:guide_RNA from 1 species
AAAAUAUAUGGAGAUUUCAGAUAUAGUAAUGUGGAUAUUUAU